UAGGGAAUCUUCCACAAUGGACGCAAGUCUGAUGGAGCAACGCCGCGUGAGUGAAGAAGGUUUUCGGAUCGUAAAGCUCUGUUGUUGGUGAAGAAGGAUAGAGGCAGUAACUGGUCUUUAUUUGACGGUAAUCAACCAGAAAGUCACGGCUAACUACGUGCCAGCAGCCGCGGUAAUACGUAGGUGGCAAGCGUUGUCCGGAUUUAUUGGGCGUAAAGCGAGCGCAGGCGGAAUGAUAAGUCUGAUGUGAAAGCCCACGGCUUAACCGUGGAACUGCAUCGGAAACUGUCAUUCUUGAGUGCAGAAGAGGAGAGUGGAAUUCCAUGUGUAGCGGUGGAAUGCGUAGAUAUAUGGAAGAACACCAGUGGCGAAGGCGGCUCUCUGGUCUGCAACUGACGCUGAGGCUCGAAAGCAUGGGUAGCGAACAGG
rnacentral:rRNA from 1 species